rnacentral:tRNA from 1 species
AAACAUUUUGUUACUAUAAAGGUUUUGAAAGCCUUUGGAGGAAAACGAUUUUCCAACAUUUA